UACGGAGGGUGCAAGCGUUAUCCGGAUUUACUGGUUUAAAGGGUGCGUAGGUGGGUAGGAAAGUCAGUGGUGAAAUCUUCGGGCUUAACCCGGAAACUGCCAUUGAUACUAUUUAUCUUGAAUACUUUUGGAGGUAAGCGGAAUAUGUCAUGUAGCGGUGAAAUGCUUAGAUAAUGACAUAGAACACCAAUUGCGAAGGCAGCUUAC
rnacentral:rRNA from 1 species